rnacentral:rRNA from 1 species
UACGGGGGGGGCAAGCGUUGUUCGGAAUUACUGGGCGUAAAGGGCCAGUAGGCGGCCAACUAAGUCGGAUGUGAAAUCCCCAGGCUUAACCUGGGAACUGCAUCCGAUACUGGAUGGCUUGAAUUCGGGAGAGGGAUGCAGAAUUCCAGGUGUAGCGGUGAAAUGCGUAGAUAUCUGGAGGAACACCGGUGGCGAAGGCGGUUCUCUGGGCAUUACCUGACGCUGAGGAGCGAAAGUGUGGGGAGCGAACAGG